rfam:Corchorus capsularis cultivar CVL-1 contig06004, whole genome shotgun sequence.
CCACAUCCGAAAUGCCUGCCGACGUUGUCGGCGACAUGCCCAGGUAGCCCUCGGUCUUGAAGGCUACGGCGCGGCUCGCCGCGCUGACCGCUACCCGUUCGCUUUCGCAUCCUGGCCGCGAACAAUCACCGCCGCGCGGUGAUGGAUGC